AGCGAACGCUGGCGGCAGGCCUAACACAUGCAAGUCGAACGAAGUCUUCGGACUUAGUGGCGGACGGGUGAGUAACACGUGGGAACGUGCCUUUAGGUUCGGAAUAACUCAGGGGAACUUGUGCUAAUACCGAAUGUGCCCUUCGGGGGAAAGAUUUAUCGCCUUUAGAGCGGCCCGCGUCUGAUUAGCUAGUUGGUGAGGUAAAGGCUCACCAAGGCUACGAUCAGUAGCUGGUCUGAGAGGAUGACCAGCCACAUUGGGACUGAGACACGGCCCAAACUCCUACGGGAGGCAGCAGUGGGGAAUCUUGCGCAAUGGGCGAAAGCCUGACGCAGCCAUGCCGCGUGGAUGAUGAAGGUCUUAGGAUUGUAAAAUCCUUUCACCGGUGAAGACAAUGACUGUAGCCGGAGAAGAAGCCCCGGCUAACUUCGUGCCAGCCGCCGCAGUAAGAC
rnacentral:rRNA from 1 species